UGAGGAACAUGACCUUCGGCGGGGGAUAGCCGGCCCAACGGCCGGGUAAUACCGCGUACGACCACAUGGGGACAUCCCUGAGUGGUGAAAGCAGCAAUGCGCCGAUGGAGUGCCUCGCGGCCUAUCAGCUAGUUGGUGAGGUAACGGCUCACCAAGGCGACGACGGGUAGCUGGUCUGAGAGGAUGGCCAGCCACAGUUGGGACUGAGACACGGCCCAGACCUCGUACGGGAG
rnacentral:rRNA from 1 species